AAGGAAAAUAACAUAGUAAUCUCAAUAAAUGGUGAUUGGAGGCAUUGUCUGAUGAAAACUUUGCCAUGCACAGUUCAAUGCGUUCCUCACUGUUAUCUUGCUUCCCUAUAUUAUUGUCCGAAGUGUUUUUACUUUCGUCGUUACAAAACCUGUUUAUUUACAGCGUACGAAGUCCCAUCCAAUAAACAGAGAAGAUAGUAUCGCGAUCCAUUGGGAAAAGAAGGCCACGAUAAAGAAGAAUAGGUCCGUAUUCAAAAGCUGCUGAAAAAAUAUGGAAAAUAACGAGUUCUUGGCAUACAAUGCUGACACGAGAAACAUUCUAUUAAUUACAAAAAAAGGAUGCUGAAUGACAACUGGGUCGUCAGUUUACAAAUUAUAAAUUAUUGAAAUGAUAUCAUUUAAUAAAGAAUGUGAAUAUUAAAAUCAUAA